rnacentral:rRNA from 1 species
UACGUAGGGGGCAAGCGUUGUCCGGAAUCAUUGGGCGUAAAGCGCGCGUAGGCGGCCCUGUAAGUCCGCUGUGAAAGUCAAGGGCUCAACCCGUGAAUGCCGGUGGAUACUGCAGGGCUAGAGUCCGGAAGAGGCGAGUGGAAUUCCUGGUGUAGCGGUGAAAUGCGCAGAUAUCAGGAGGAACACCGAUGGCGAAGGCAGCUCGCUGGGACGGUACUGACGCUGAGGCGCGAAAGCGUGGGGAGCAAACAGG